rnacentral:rRNA from 1 species
GAGCAUGCGCGUGCUACCAUGCAGUCGAACGGUGAGCAGAGCUUGCUCUGUGGAUCAGUGGCGAACGGGUGAGUAACACGUGAGCAAUCUGCCCCUGACUCUGGGAUAAGCGCUGGAAACGGCGUCUAAUACCGGAUACGAGCUGCGACCGCAUGGUCAGUAGCUGGAAAGAAUUUCGGUCAGGGAUGAGCUCGCGGCCUAUCAGCUUGUUGGUGAGGUAAUKGSUSAMSAUAKGCKUCGACGGGUAUGCUCGRCSUKACGCUAGGGUGACCGGCCACACUGKGACUGAGACAYGGCYCAGACUCCUACGGGAGGCAGCAGUGGGGAAUAUUGCACAAUKGGCGAAAGSCUGAUGCAGCAACGCCGCKUGAGGGAUGACGGCCUUCGGGUUGUAAACCUCUUUUAGCAGGGAAGAAGCGAAAGUGACGGUACYUGCAGAAAAAGCGCCGGCUAACUACGUGCCAGCAGCCGCGGUAAUACGUAGGGCGCAAGCGUUAUCYGGAAUUAUUGGGCGUAAAGAGCUCGUAGGCGGUCUGUCGCGUCUGCUGUGAAAACCCGAGGCUCAACCUCGGGCCUGCAGUGGGUACGGGCAGACUAGAGUGCGGUAGGGGAGAUUGGAAUUCCUGGUGUAGCGGUGGAAUGCGCAGAUAUCAGGAGGAACACCGAUGGCGAAGGCAGAUCUCUGGGCCGUAACUGACGCUGAGGAGCGAAAGGGUGGGGAGCAAACAGGCUUAGAUACCCUGGUAGUCCACCCCGUAAACGUUGGGAACUAGUUGUGGGGUCCAUUCCACGGAUUCCGUGACGCAGCUAACGCAUUAAGUUCCCCGCCUGGGGAGUACGGCCGCAAGGCUAAAACUCAAAGGAAUUGACGGGGACCCGCACAAGCGGCGGAGCAUGCGGAUUAAUUCGAUGCAACGCGAAGAACCUUACCAAGGCUUGACAUAUAGAGGAAACGUCUGGAAACAGUCGCCCCGCAAGGUCUCUAUACAGGUGGUGCAUGRUUGUCGUCAGCUCGUGUCGUGAGAUGUUGGGUUARGUCCCGCAMCGAGCGCAACCCUCGGUUCUUAUGUUGGCCAGCACGUAAUGGUGGGAACUCAUGGGAUACCUGCMGGGKUCAACUCGGAGGAAGGUGGGGAUGACGUCAAWUCAAUCAUGCUCAUGCCUUAUGUCUYGGGCUUCASGCAKGCUCGACAAUUGGCCGCGUUAUCMARGGGCUGCAAUACCGUGAGGUGGAGCGAAUCCCAAAAAGCCGGUCCCAGUUCGGAUUGAGGUCUGCAACUCGACCUCAUGAAGUCGGAGUCGCUAGUAAUCGCAGAUCAGCAACGCUGCGGUGAAUACGUUCCCGGGUCUUGUACACACCGCCCGUCAAGUCAUGAAAGUCGGUAACACCUGAAGCCGGUGGCCCAACCCUUGUGGAGGGAGCCGUCGAAGUGAUCCAUCU